rnacentral:misc_RNA from 1 species
CGCAAUUGGAGUGUUUUGAAAAGUAAUCCCGAGCUUAGCAAAUCAAAGGGUAAACCCAAAAAGAAAGACAUGUCUCUGGAGGAAGCUGUAGACGAUUCUGAAAAUUUAACAGACUUCCUUAUGGACUUUGACGAGGAUGAGUGAGGCUAAUGGACGCCCCAGGCUAUCAAGGAUAAGCAAAUUAUUUUCAUCCCCAUCAACAAAGCUCUGUUGAUUACAGCACCAGCAUCUUCCCUAUGAUGGAGUCGAUGAACAUAUAUUGGAUGAUUGAUACGAUCUGGCAACAAGGCCAACUAACUUGGGAACGGUUUGUUGUUGAUGCUGCUGUGACUCUUAAGCAGCAUCUGCUGAAGAUCUUCACCCCAGAAGAGUAGAUUUUUUAUAGAAGCUUUGGG